rnacentral:tRNA from 1 species
GGAGGUGCCAUAGCUCAGUGGUAGAGCAUCAGUUUGGCAUGCGGAAGGUCACACGAUCGAUCCCUGGUGUUUCCA